rnacentral:rRNA from 1 species
GAUGAACGCUGGCGGCGUGCUUAACACAUGCAAGUCGAACGGAAAGGCUCCUGCUUGCAGGGGUACUCGAGUGGCGAACGGGUGAGUAACACGUGGGUGAUCUGCCCUGCACUUCGGGAUAAGCCUGGGAAACUGGGUCUAAUACCGGAUAGGACGAUGGUUUGGAUGCCAUUGUGGAAAGUUUUUCGGUGUGGGGUGAGCUCGCGGCCUAUCAGCUUGUUGGUGGGGUAAUGGCCUACCAAGGCGUCGACGGGUAGCCGGCCUGAGAGGGUGUACGGCCACAUUGGGACUGAGGUACGGCCCAGACUCCUACGGGAGGCAGCAGUGGGGAAUAUUGCACAAUGGGCGCAAGCCUGAUGCAGCGACGCCGCGUGGGGGAUGACGGCCUUCGGGUUGUAAACUCCUUUCGCUAGGGACGAAGCGCAAGUGACGGUACCUGGAGAAGAAGCACCGGCUAACUACGUG